UAGGGAAUCUUCGGCAAUGGGGGCAACCCUGACCGAGCAACGCCGCGUGAGUGAAGAAGGUUUUCGGAUCGUAAAGCUCUGUUGUAAGAGAAGAACGUGUGUGAGAGUGGAAAGUUCACACAGUGACGGUAACUUACCAGAAAGGGACGGCUAACUACGUACACG
rnacentral:rRNA from 1 species